UGUGUGUGUGCUGCUGCUGUCUGCACCGACUGUUUCUGCCGUCUCUCUGUAUGUCAGCCCAAACCAUCAGCAGUUCUUCAAAGGAGACCGUUAUGUCUCCCUGAGUUGUGUCGAUGAUGGUCAGACAGCUGAUGGAUGGAGAGUAAAGAGGACCAGAGGAGUAUCCACUGAGGGCUGUAGUACAGCUGCAGACUUUAGAAGGUUUAAUAAUUCCUUCUGUGUUCUGGAUCUCUCCGUCUCAUCUGGUGGAAGUUUCUGGUGUGAAAACUCAUCUGGACAGAAGAGCGAUGAAGUCUUCAUCGCUGUUUCAGAAAAACAGUUGAUCCUGGAGAUCCCAGCGCUUCCAGUGAACACAGGAAGUAAUGUCACUCUGCUCUGCAAACCCAGAAAUGGU